AACUAGCCCCGAUGGUAGUGAAAAUCCUUUUUAUUUGCCAUACUGAGCGCAGUCGAAGUAUAAAAAUAAAAAGAUUGUAACGAACAGCGGGAAAUAGC
rnacentral:sRNA from 1 species